rnacentral:rRNA from 1 species
CGUCUCCGUUAAUGAUUUUAAGUGCUUGCACUUGAAAGAUUUAACAUUGAGACGAGUGGCGAACUGGUGAGUAACACGUGGGUAACCUGCCCUUGAAGUAGGGGAUAACACUUGGAAACAGGUGCUAAUACCGUAUAACAACCAAAACCACCUGGUUUUGGUUUAAAAGACGGCUUCGGCUGUCACUUUAGGAUGGACCCGCGGCGUAUUAGCUUGUUGGUAAGGUAACGGCCUACCAAGGCGAUGAUACGUAGCCGACCUGAGAGGGUAAUCGGCCACAUUGGGACUGAGACACGGCCCAAACUCCUACGGGAGGCAGCAGUAGGGAAUCUUCCACAAUGGACGAAAGUCUGAUGGAGCAACGCCGCGUGAGUGAUGAAGGGUUUCGGCUCGUAAAACUCUGUUGUUGGAGAAGAACAGGUGUCAGAGCAACUGUUGACAUCUUGACGGUAUCCAACCAGAAAGCCACGGCUAACUACGUGCCAGCAGCCGCGGUAAUACGUAGGUGGCAAGCGUUGUCCGGAUUUAUUGGGCGUAAAGCGAGCGCAGGCGGUUUUUUAGGUCUGAUGUGAAAGCCUUCGGCUUAACCGGAGAAGUGCAUCGGAAACCGGGAGGCUUGAGUGCAGAAGAGGACAGUGGAACUCCAUGUGUAGCGGUGAAAUGCGUAGAUAUAUGGAAGAACACCAGUGGCGAAGGCGGCUGUCUGGUCUGUAACUGACGCUGAGGCUCGAAAGCAUGGGUAGCGAACAGGAUUAGAUACCCUGGUAGUCCAUGCCGUAAACGAUGAGUGCUAAGUGUUGGAGGGUUUCCGCCCUUCAGUGCUGCAGCUAACGCAUUAAGCACUCCGCC